rnacentral:rRNA from 1 species
GACGAACGCUGGCGGCGUGCUUAACACAUGCAAGUCGAACGGAAAGGCCCUGCUUUUGUGGGGUGCUCGAGUGGCGAACGGGUGAGUAACACGUGAGUAACCUGCCCUUGACUUUGGGAUAACUUCAGGAAACUGGGGCUAAUACCGGAUAGGAGCUCCUGCUGCAUGGUGGGGGUUGGAAAGUUUCGGCGGUUGGGGAUGGACUCGCGGCUUAUCAGCUUGAUGGUGGGGUAGUGGCUUACCAAGGCUUUGACGGGUAGCCGGCCUGAGAGGGUGACCGGCCACAUUGGGACUGAGAUACGGCCCAGACUCCUACGGGAGGCAGCAGUGGGGAAUAUUGCACAAUGGGCGGAAGCCUGAUGCAGCAACGCCGCGUGCGGGAUGACGGCCUUCGGGUUGUAAACCGCUUUCGCCUGUGACGAAGCGUGAGUGACGGUAAUGGGUAAAGAGGCACCGGCUAACUACGUG